rfam:Schistosoma mansoni strain Puerto Rico chromosome 1, complete genome
ACCCAGCUGACGAGUCCCAAAUAGGAUGAAACUUGCGUCCCGGAU